rnacentral:lncRNA from 1 species
AGAAAAGCUUAGACAUUCAUAGGAAUAAGACCUCCAGCUAUUUAUGGGUUGAUUACAAGCUCAGUAUGAUUCAAUUGAUGAUUAGAUAGUAGACAUCACCUGUUACGAUUGGAGCCCUGUGGCCAAGAGGACGCCUGUGAACUAUUUCACCUGAUUAGGCCACGCUGGGAUUUUUUGCUUGGGUGAGAGGUCGUGCUUCCCCAGGACACGGGCAGCAGCCUGGAGAGAGGAGUCUCAGAGGGUAACCCUGCUCUUCUCAAAUAUGGAAAGCUCCUAUGUGGAAGGGCAGUGAGUGGGAUUUAUCUUUUUCUGGGGAUUCCAGAUGGCAGAAAAUGGCAGAUUUUCCCAAUUCCACAUUUUGGAAGUAUCAAGAGCUGUUUCAUGAGAUAAGCUGGCGAGAGGAAAUAGACUACUCUGGUAGGAAACUAGAGCAGGUGGGCAGGAGUGACUUUCCUCUUCUCUUCCUGUUCCUCACACCCACCAGACCCGAGGUCCCCUGCCCGUCUGUUCUCUGCAGCCCCCACUGAAGCCUCAAAGUCCUUGCAAACGUUGCAAUAUCCUGCCUUCCUUCUUCCUUCCUAAAGGCUCCAGCUUUUCUGGGCCAUACCUUUCCAUCUCCGCUACCCCAUCCCCACCUCCUUUAUAAGGCUGUUCCACUCAGGGCUGCUGUUGGCCUUUCUUAGUUACCCCAGGGCCAGGUGACAGACAAAAGCCCCAGUCAAUACUCCAGACCCUGCUGAAAUUACUCAAACUAGCUCAUCCUAAGCCCCUUGUGGUAUGUCAUGCCUCCUGCUUCCAGGGAACUGUGAGCUUAAACUUCUUCCAUUAUGACAGUCAUUUCUGUGUCUGUGUCUGUUGUAAACAAAUCCUGGGUAUAAUUAAAAUACCAUGCAUCAAACUCCAAGAAAAACCAGGAUUCAUCCUCUUCUGUGCUUUUACUGAGCACUGGUCAGAUCCUACUUUGCACUUAGUUGGUAUGAUCUAAGCUUCUCUAUCUAUUUCUCCUGCUAAUCUGCCUGCAAGCCC